rnacentral:rRNA from 1 species
UGGGGAAUUUUGGACAAUGGGCGAAAGCCUGAUCCAGCAAUGCCGCGUGUGUGAAGAAGGCCUUCGGGUUGUAAAGCACUUUUGUCCGGAAAGAAAUCCCUGGCUCUAAUACAGUCGGGGGAUGACGGUACCGGAAGAAUAAGCACCGGCUAACUACGUGCCAGCAGCCGCGGUAAUACGUAGGGUGCAAGCGUUAAUCGGAAUUACUGGGCGUAAAGCGUGCGCAGGCGGUUUGCUAAGACCGAUGUGAAAUCCCCGGGCUCAACCUGGGAACUGCAUUGGUGACUGGCAGGCUAGAGUAUGGCAGAGGGGGGUAGAAUUCCACGUGUAGCAGUGAAAUGCGUAGAGAUGUGGAGGAAUACCGAUGGCGAAGGCAGCCCCCUGGGCCAAUACUGACGCUCAUGCACGAAAGCGUGGGGAGCAAACAGGAUUAGAUACCCUGGUAGUCCACGCCCCUAAACGAUGUCAACUAGUUGUUGGGGAUUCAUUUCCUUAGUAACGUAGCUAACGCGUGAAGUUGACCGCCUGGGGAGUACGGUCGCAAGAUUAAAACUUAAAGGAAUUGACGGGGU